rnacentral:rRNA from 1 species
GAUGAACGCUGACAGAAUGCUUAACACAUGCAAGUCCACUUGAAUUUGGGUUUUUUAACUUAGAUUUGGGUGGCGGACGGGUGAGUAACGCGUAAAGAACUUGCCUCACAGCUAGGGACAACAUUUGGAAACGAAUGCUAAUACCUGAUAUUAUGAUUAUAAGGCAUCUUAGAAUUAUGAAAGCUAUAUGCGCUGUGAGAGAGCUUUGCGUCCCAUUAGCUAGUUGGAGAGGUAACGGCUCACCAAGGCGAUGAUGGGUAGCCGGCCUGAGAGGGUGAACGGCCACAAGGGGACUGAGACACGGCCCUUACUCCUACGGGAGGCAGCAGUGGGGAAUAUUGGACAAUGGACCAAGAGUCUGAUCCAGCAAUUCUGUGUGAACGAUGACGUUUUUCGGAAUGUAAAGUGCUUUCAGUUGGGAAGAAAAAAAUGACGGUACCAACAGAAGAAGUGACGGCUAAAUACGUG